rnacentral:rRNA from 1 species
AGUGAACGCUGGCGGUAGGCCUAACACAUGCAAGUCGAACGGCAGCACAGUAAGAGCUUGCUCUUACGGGUGGCGAGUGGCGGACGGGUGAGGAAUACAUCGGAAUCUACUUUUUCGUGGGGGAUAACGUAGGGAAACUUACGCUAAUACCGCAUACGACCUACGGGUGAAAGCAGGGGAUCUUCGGACCUUGCGCGAUUGAAUGAGCCGAUGUCGGAUUAGCUAGUUGGCGGGGUAAAGGCCCACCAAGGCGACGAUCCGUAGCUGGUCUGAGAGGAUGAUCAGCCACACUGGAACUGAGACACGGUCCAGACUCCUACGGGAGGCAGCAGUGGGGAAUAUUGGACAAUGGGCGCAAGCCUGAUCCAGCCAUACCGCGUGGGUGAAGAAGGCCUGCGGGUUGUAAAGCCCUUUUGUUGGGAAAGAAAAGCGGCAGGUUAAUACCCCGCGGUUCUGACGGUACCCAAAGAAUAAGCACCGGCUAACUUCGUG